CCAAACUUGGUCAUUUAGAGGAAGUAAAAGUCGUAACAAGGUUUCCGUAGGUGAACCUGCGGAAGGAUCAUUAAUGAAUAACUAUGGUGUUGGUUGUUGCUGGCUUCUAGGAGCAGGUGCACACUCACUGUUUUUAUCUCUCCACCUGUGCACUUUAUGUAGAUCUGGAUAACUCUCACUCUUGAGUGGAUGCAGGGACUGUCACAUGCGACUCUCCUUGAAUUUCCGGAUCUAUGUUAUUUUACAUACACCAAUUGAAUGAUGUAGAAUGUCGUCAAUGGGCUAUCUCAAGCCUAUAAAAUGCAAUACAACUUUCAGCAACGGAUCUCUUGGCUCUCGCAUCGAUGAAGAACGCAGC
rnacentral:misc_RNA from 1 species